UCGCCCGUAGUGUAAUGGUAGCACAACUGGUUUUGGUCCAGUUUGUCGAGGUUCGAAUCCUUGCGGGCGAG
rfam:Candidatus Margulisbacteria bacterium GWE2_39_32 gwe2_scaffold_263, whole genome shotgun sequence.